rnacentral:rRNA from 1 species
AUGCUAUAUAUAGAGAGAGUUGCUUGCAGCUUUGGGCAGACACAAGCACAACACAAAACCAUCAUUCCACGAGCAGAUCGACAGGACCGGGAAAGCAAGUUUAGGAGCGACCAACGAACGAUGAAGAGUAGCACGCUGGUGGCGGUCCUACUUCUCCAGACCGUCAUGGUCAUGGGGAUCCUCGCACACUCACAGCACGAUUUCCCCAAGUGCUGCGACCACUGCAACUCCUGGUCGGGGGCCCAAUUCUGCGACGACGUGGGCCCCAAGUGCCGCGACGGCUGCGUCAACUGCCGCGUGGUGCAGACGCGCCCCGUGAAGACGUUCCGGUGUGGAGAUGGACGCUCCGCCUUCCCGUACAUUCCCUGCCCGCCGCCGUGCAAAAAGAACUGA